GUUCCCUAAGUUAGUUUUAAGGGAUAAAAGGGAAUUCGGUGUAAAUCCGAAGCAGCCCCCGCUACUGUAAAGCUGAUGAAAUUGUCAAUGCCACUGGUGAAAACCGGGAAGGGACAAGAGUAAGAUGAAGCGAAGCCAGGAGACCUACUUUUAAAU
rnacentral:ncRNA from 1 species